rnacentral:rRNA from 1 species
ACCCGCUGAAUUUAAGCAUAUAAGUAAGCGGAGGACAAGAAACUAAAUAGGAUUCCCUUAGUAAUGGCGAAUGAACAGGGAACAGCUCAGCAUGGAAAUCGGGGCCUCCCGGCCUUGAAUUGUAGUCUGGAGAUGUGCUGCCAACGGAGGCGCAGAUGUAA